UCUUAUUUACUACCUAGCUGGUUUUGGCUUUUUUUACAUGCUGAUGCUUCAAGCUUCAGCAGAGAGGAUUCUUCUCUAGCUAAUUCUCUACUCCCUGAUGCAGAAGUUGUAGUAAUAACAGUUUUCUUAUUUCAAUGAAGAAGUAAGAAGAGGACCUGUGUAUGGCUCAGAGGUCUAGGUGCUGAAUCAGGAGCCCAGUCUAACCUGUGGGGCAGGACUAAUUGGACUAAUUGGUACUGAAUGGGACCAAAAGCCAGACGGCAUUUCUCAGCCUAGCAUCGUGACAAAACAGUGGAAGAAGCAAUCAAGAUUCCUGGUAGUAACUUGUGAUCGUUUAUUUGGGGAUGUACCUGUUUCAGAAGCUGUGGACCAAACAUACUCUAGGAAGGCAGAUGAACGGGCAGCAGCAUGGGAGCAGUUUGCUCUUCUGUGGUGGACAGCAAGAAGCCAUUAGCUGAGCUGUCGCCUGCAGCAAGUCAGGAAACUCUUUCCAGUGUGUGCAGAUGCUUCCUGCACACAGUGCUGGUGUCAUACUUGGCACGUGGUUAAAAAUAAAUAAAGUCACACUCGGACUGCUUU